rnacentral:piRNA from 1 species
UGGGAUUAAAGGCCUGGCCAAUGUAGGCUUA